GUCCACGCCCUAAACGAUGUCGACUGGUUGUUGGGGUUGGUACACUCUCAGUAACGAAGCUAACGACGUGAAGUCGACCGCCUGGGGAGGUACGGCCGCAAGGUUAAAACUACAAAGGAAUUGACGGGGACCCGGCACAAGCGGUGGAUUAUGUGGAUUAAUUCGAUGCAACGCGAAAAACCUUAACCUACCCUUGACAUGUCCUGAAAUCCCGCUGAGAGGUGGGAGUGCCCGAAAAGGGAACGGGAACACAGGUGCUGCAUGGCUGUCGU
rnacentral:rRNA from 1 species